CUACGUUGGAAACAGAUCAAAGAAACUUGUCGUUUCUCUACAAAAAUAGUUGACGUAAAUUAUAAAUUUAAUUGUCAACCCUAAAAAAUUAAUUUAUCAUAAUUUAAUUAAUAAACUAGUUUGUGUGUCCAUCAAAUUGCCAGUGGAAAUAUUAAAAUGAGCAACAAUGGCCGCAGAUCUAUCAUCAAUCUAACCUAAAGUUCAUUUGUCAAUAAAAAUAAAUUGAAUAUAUCAAGAAUAAGACACGAAUUCGUAAAAAAAAAACAAUUCAGUUGAUCUAUAGAUAUUUUUAAUAGUCACUCGUUGAUUCGUCCAUUGCCUACUAAAUCAAAGGAAUUUUUUUUACCUUAACUUCAGUAAGAGGAUAUCGGCGAAUUGAUUGAAGCAGCUGAAAUUUCAUUCUGAUAUCAAUAAAAAAAAAACGAUUGUGAAGCUUCUUUACUUGGGGCAGUGAUAAAAACUGAGUUCUUCUAAAGUUUUUGUCAAAAAAAUGUAUCAUAGAUCAAGAAUACAUGCAACUGCAAUUUAAAAAGCGAAAUUUUAUUCCUGCGGAAUUGAUUUUGAAUUUAUUUUUUCAAGACUCAAUAAAUCUCUUUGUAUGAAAUCACAGUAUCAAAAAUCUUUUAUUAUUCCUUGAUUAUUAUUUGUUAUUAAGAUUAUUUCAUCAUUAAGUGAAGCAAAGGGCAUCAACUGAUAAAUCACAUGUUUUCGUAUGCUUCUGGAAAUAAAAAUUUAUUUCAAGAUACGCGCGGCUCAUUCUUGCGAAAAAUUUGUUACAUUUUAACAGAAAUUUCGAUUUAAGAAAAUAAUAGUAACGCAAAUGACUCGAAUUUACUUUUUAAAAGACAAUUUAUUACGAAUGACGACUUUAAUAUAAAAAAAACCUAAAUUCAAUGCAAAUGCAAUUACUAGCAAUUUGAUGGACGCAGAAACUAGUUCAUUAAUUAAAAUAUAAUAAAUGAAUUGUUUAGAGUUGACAAUUAAAUUUAUAAUUUGCGUUAACUAUUUUUGUAGGGAAACGACAAGUUUCUUUGAUGCAUAAACCACAUAAAUUAAUAACUUAAUAACAAAUAUUAAUUAACAAUAAUCUUUAUUUCAGAUUCGUAAAAAAAAAAACAAUUCAGUCGAUCUAUAGAUAUUUUUAAUAGUCACUCGUUGAUUCGUCCAUUGCCUACUAAAUAAAAGGAAUUUUUUUUACCUCAACUUCAGUAAGAGGAUAUCGGCGAAUUAAUUGAAGCAGCGGAAAUUUUAUUCUGAUAUCAAUAAAAAAAAACGAUUGUGAAGCUCUUCUACUUGAGGCAGUGAUAAAAACUGAGAUCUUCUAAAAUUUUAGUCUGAAAAAUGUAUCAUAGAACAAGACCACAUGCAACUGCAAUUUAAAAAGCCGAAUUUUAUUCCUGAAAAAUUGAUUUUGAAUUUGUUUUUUCAAGACACA